GACGAACGCUGGCGGCGUGCUUAACACAUGCAAGUCGAACGGAAAGGCCCUGCUUUUGUGGGGUGCUCGAGUGGCGAACGGGUGAGUAACACGUGAGUAACCUGCCCUUGACUUUGGGAUAACUUCAGGAAACUGGGGCUAAUACCGGAUAGGGGCUCCUGCUGCACGGUGGGGGUUGGAAAGUUUCGGCGGUUGGGGAUGGACUCGCGGCUUAUCAGCUUGUUGGUGGGGUAGUGGCUUACCAAGGCUUUGACGGGUAGCCGGCCUGAGAGGGUGACCGGCCACAUUGGGACUGAGAUACGGCCCAGACUCCUACGGGAGGCAGCAGUGGGGAAUAUUGCACAAUGGGCGGAAGCCUGAUGCAGCAACGCCGCGUGCGGGAUGACGGCCUUCGGGUUGUAAACCGCUUUCGCCUGUGACGAAGCGUGAGUGACGGUAAUGGGUAAAGAAGCACCGGCUAACUACGUG
rnacentral:rRNA from 1 species